UACGGAGGGUGCGAGCGUUAAUCGGAAUUACUGGGCGUAAAGGGUGCGUAGGUGGUUUGAUAAGUUAGUUGUGAAAUACCUGGGCUCAACCUGGGCAUGUCAACUAAGACUGUUUGACUAGAGUAUAGGAGAGGGUAGUGGAAUUUCCGGUGUAGCGGUGAAAUGCGUAGAGAUCGGAAGGAACACCAGUGGCGAAGGCGGCUACCUGGCCUGAUACUGACACUGAGGCACGAAAGCGUGGGGAGCAAACAGG
rnacentral:rRNA from 1 species